rnacentral:rRNA from 1 species
UACGUAGGGAGCAAGCGUUAUCCGGAUUCAUUGGGCGUAAAGCGCGCGUAGGCGGCUUGUUAAGCGAGAUGUGAAAGCCGGGGGCUCAACCCGCGGAUUGCAUCUCGAACUGGCAGGCUUGAGUGUGGUAGAGGAAAGUGGAAUUCCCGGUGUAGCGGUGAAAUGCGCAGAUAUCGGGAGGAACACCAGUGGCGAAGGCGGCUUUCUGGGCCACCACUGACGCUGAGGCGCGAAAGCUAGGGGAGCGAACAGG